GAGGUAGGAGGAAAAUAUCUGAGCAGUCUGAGUCUCUGCAGGACCAAGUUUGACCUCAACAAACAA